rnacentral:rRNA from 1 species
UCGCCUGUUUAUCAAAAACAUGUCCUCUUGUUCAAAAAUUUGAGGUCUGACCUGCCCACUGAAUAUAUUUGAAGGGCCGCGGUAUUUUGACCGUGCAAAGGUAGCAUAAUCAUUAGUCUUUUAAUUGGAGGCUGGUAUGAAGGGUUGGACGAGGUGCUGACUGUCUCGUGGCAGAUGAAAGUAGAAUUUAACAUUUAAGUCAAAAGGCUUAAAUAAAUUUAAAGGACGAGAAGACCCUAUAGAGCUUUAUACUACGAGCUUACUUAUUAUUCAGUUGUUUUAUUUAGGUAGGGUAGAUAGUAUUUUAUUGGGGUGAUAGGAAGAUAAGAUUAACUCUUUUUAGUUGUUUGAAUCAUUAAUUUAUGAAUUUUUGAUCCGUUAAUAGUGAUUAUAAGACUAAGUUACCUUAGGGAUAACAGCGUAAUCUUUUUCGAGAGUUCUUAUCGACAAAAAGGGUUGCGACCUCGAUGUUGGAUUAAGGUAAAUUUUGGGUGUAGAUGUUCAAAUUUUAGGUCUGUUCGACCUUUAAAUCCUUACAUGAUCUGAGUUCAAACCGGAGA